rnacentral:rRNA from 1 species
GAUCAUGGCUCAGAAUGAACGCUGGCGGCAUGCCUAACACAUGCAAGUCGAACGAAGGCUUCGGCCUUAGUGGCGCACGGGUGCGUAACGCGUGGGAAUCUGCCCCUUGGUUCGGAAUAACAGUUAGAAAUGACUGCUAAUACCGGAUGAUGACGUAAGUCCAAAGAUUUAUCGCCGAGGGAUGAGCCCGCGUAGGAUUAGCUAGUUGGUGUGGUAAGAGCGCACCAAGGCGACGAUCCUUAGCUGGUCUGAGAGGAUGAUCAGCCACACUGGGACUGAGACACGGCCCAGACUCCUACGGGAGGCAGCAGUGGGGAAUAUUGGACAAUGGGCGAAAGCCUGAUCCAGCCAAUGCCGCGUGAGUGAUGAAGGCCUUAGGGUUGUAAAGCUCUUUUACCCGGGAUGAUAAUGACAGUACCGGGAGAAUAAGCUCCGGCUAACUCCGUGCCAGCAGCAGC